rnacentral:rRNA from 1 species
UGGGGAAUUUUGGACAAUGGGGGAAACCCUGAUCUAGCCAUCCCGCGUGUGCGAUGAAGGCCUUCGGGUUGUAAAGCACUUUUGGCAGGAAAGAAACGUCAUGGGUUAAUACCCCGUGCAACUGACGGUACCUGCAGAAUAAGCACCGGCUAACUACGUGCCAGCAGCCGCGGUAAUACGUAGGGUGCAAGCGUUAAUCGGAAUUACUGGGCGUAAAGCGUGCGCAGGCGGUUCGGAAAGAAAGAUGUGAAAUCCCAGAGCUCAACUUUGGAACUGCAUUUUUAACUACCGGGCUAGAGUGUGUCAGAGGGAGGUGGAAUUCCGCGUGUAGCAGUGAAAUGCGAAGAUAUGCGGAGGAACACCGAUGGCGAAGGCAGCCUCCUGGGAUAACACUGACGCUCAUGCACGAAAGCGUGGGGAGCAAACAGG